CCGAUCAAUCCAACCACAGAGCACCUGUGGGUCCGCCCCCAGCCCGGUGCCGUCCCCUCUCGGGGGCGCCCGGGGGGUUUUGGGGCGGGCCCGCCGUAUUCUAAGGGUCCGCCGGUCGCCCCCUCGGGGGAGGCCGGUCCCGGAUCCCCAACCCAUCUGAACCCUUCUGCCCUGAAGCAGCUUCGCAAGGGGACACCCCGAGCGACAGUAACAGAGACAACUCUCAACAACGGAUAUCUUGGCUCUCGCAACGAUGAAGAACGCAGCGAAAUGCGAUACGUAGUGUGAAUUGCAGAAUUCCGUGAGUCAUCGAAUCUUUGAACGCACAUUGCCGGUCGACUCUUCGGAGGAGACCACAUCUGCCUCAGCGUCGGGAUACCCCCUCACGCACAACCGCGCGUGGAUCUGGCCCCCCCGGCCCCCCUCGCAGGGGACCGGGCCGGCUGAAAUGCAGAGGCCCGUGCGCGGCCCACUUGUGGCCCCGACUAGGUAGGUAGCUCGCUACUGCUAGGCGGCGGCUCGGUGCCGCGGACUUUGGGCCGAAAAGGAUACUCCCAUUCAUUCGACCUGAGUUCAGGUGAGGCUACCCGCUGAACUUAAGCAUAUCAAUAA
rnacentral:rRNA from 1 species